rnacentral:misc_RNA from 1 species
GAAAUGCGAUAAGUAAUGUGAAUUGCAGAAUUCAGUGAAUCAUCGAAUCUUUGAACGCACAUUGCGCCCGCCAGUAUUCUGGCGGGCAUGCCUGUUCGAGCGUCAUUUCAACCAUCAAGCCCCCGGGCUUGUGUUGGGGACCUGCGGCUGCCGCAGGCCCCGAAAACCAGUGGCGGGCUCGCUGUCACACCGGGCGUAGUAGAUUUUUCGUCUCGCCCAGGGCGUGCUGCGGGUUCCGGCCGUUAAAAAGCCUCUCUUUUAACCCAAGGUUGACCUCGGAUCAGGUAGGAAGACCCGCUGCACUGAGGC